UAAUUUUGUUACACAGCAAUUGACACUUCUAUAUUCUUUCCCCUAACUCAUGUGCCAGGUAGUCGCUCCUCUCCUACCCAGAAGGCCUGUGGAUUUCAGUCUCAAGUGGCAGAAGCAGGGGAGGUUUGGACUUCAGAUGACCCUAGGGACAGCAGAAGCCAAGGGAAACAGCUUCCUGAAAACAGAAUUAGGUGAAAGGCCUCAUGGUAAAGGAGACCCCUCCUCGGCACCUUCCUCUGCCUCUGUUCCCAGGAUGCUGGUGCCAGGCUCAUUCCCCAUGAGACAGGAGACUGCAGAUGCACUGUCUGGGCAGCUCACUCAAGAGACGCUGGCAGGAAUCUACUAGAAGAUGUGCUCCACCAAGAAGGGGUAAACCAAGAAAGAAAAUGACAUGACAGCCACACGACAGAGACUCAAACCCAAGAGAGAAGCCAAGAAAGGUCCUAGGAGGAUGGCCAAGGGCCCUCCCAAGAUGCCAACCAGGCAGCAGGCCACAGGAGCAGCAGCCAGCCCGGAUAGAACAGUGAUCACUGAAGCAUCAGGAUUUGUGGGAAUUCACAAGUAACAUGAUGAUGGCAGGAGGCAGCCCUGCCUCCGAUGAUGUGCUGAAAAUAGCUGAAGAUGGUAAAACCAAGAGCAAAGCAACCCGGCUCACAGUAGAAAUUUCAUCUCCUCCUCAGCCUCUCACAGAGAAGCCAGGAAGAGUCUGAUUGGCUUGCA